AAUGCCAAGGAGUGGACAAAUAAAGAAAUACAAAAAACCUGCAAAUUUCUGAGAGGGGGCGUUUUUGGUUUGUUUUUUGAUGCCCUGUCAUUGCAGCUUUUUAAGAUUCUCUUUUUCAUGACACUGUUUCCACUUCAGCUCAGACCAUAAAUGCCAAAUCCAAUAACUCAGUUGAAGCCAUUUUUUCCCCAAAUUUCUUUUGUAAUAUACAUAUAAUUUUAAUUUUAUUUAAGGGCUGUUAGUCUUGGAUGGUCACUGAAGAGCAGCUGAAUAUUUAUUUCUUCAUUUUUAUCUCCAGAUUUUCUGCUGUCAGAUGUGAGGGUGAAACGCCAGGCGACCACCAACGACUGCCAGAGACUCGGAGUAGAGCCCUCUCUCCACCGUGACGUGGCUCCUGGCUCUUGCCUGGACGUCUACCGGUUUAGGAUCCAGCAUAAUAACUAACGAUGAUAUGAUACAACCAAUAGAAUAAUCCUGCUGCAGUGUUCCCACACUCCAUGUUGUGGAAGUCACGCGUCUCUCCUUCAUGACCUGCGUUACAUCACUGCCAUGUACAUAUGAAUCAGCUGCUGGCUUAUUCAUGCCUUGCUCUCACGCAGACUUCAGGACAACUGAAGCGGAGCGGCCACUGGCAACAGUCACCCCACCGCCGUCCAUUUCAAUGCAAACUUGCUGAUUCCCAAAAAGCCUGUGCGGUGAUGUGUCUGGUCCAGACACGCUCUGCAUCAGGCUCCUCCGCGGCUCCUUGCUCUUACGUAACUCCCGUGGCAUCACGCUUCUCGUGCUCUACCCCAUGUGUGACAAGUGUUCACCUCCUGUUUGACGCAUCGCUCCACAGCGCUGGAGAGGCAAGAGCAGCGCAACCAGCAGCCACAGAGAAGCAAAAUCCGAAAAUACGUCACUUUGGACUCCAAGCCCGCACUUGACUGACUGACAGAUCGGAAGCCGCCUUGUUACCUGCUCCCCGAUAUCCACAAGUGACAGCCCACAGACGUCAGCGAGGCCCAAACAGCCCGGCUGGCAUCCUCUCAGGGAAAAGACAAAUCCAGCUCCGGCACAAGCUCCUCAGCAGCAGCAGCGGCAGCAGCAGCAGCGGCAGCAGCAGCACAGUCCAAAGUCCUCUUCUACAUGUGGGAGACUGCGUGAGGAGUGUUGUGGGUGUGAGCGAGUGAGCGAGCGAGCGAGAGAGGGAGAGAGUGCGCAGCUCAGAAUCAGUAUUCUAACUGCACAGAUGGAGACAGUGUGGAGGCAGUGACAUGGCGGGAAUGAUCACAGGGCCGCAGAACAUCUGGGCCUGGGUUCAAGCACUCACUUCAUGUAGCAGUCGCGCCCCUCUCUAUUGGAGCCCACGUCCCAUCCGUUGGGCGGUCCCUGCGAGGCGUUCCAGGUCCCUGAAGGUGGCGGCCAACCUGACGAUUUGGUCCUGUGGCUGCAGGGACAAGAGUCACAGCGGGGUCUUAGCAAUAGGGGUCAGUGUGCAGAGCAUGCGUUCAGUGCUUGGCUAACACAGCUGAAGCUUGAACCUGCGGCCCAAAACAAAUCUCCUGCUUCCCAGAACGUUCCCGGGAACGCUUCCUGGAGUUGGAGAAGCAACUCUUCGGUGCGAUAGGAUUGUGCCAGUCAUGUGACGUUUAAGUCCUAAACGCAAAGCCAUCUGCCGGCCGCACCUCCAUCACCUCACUGCUCUCUCCCUCUCCAACUGUCCUCCCUAACUUUGUCUCCAAACUCUGAUCGUGUCUGGUCUCUGAAUGAUGCCCUGAUGAUCUCUCAUCAUCUCCGACUCUGACUCAUCAUGGCAGUGACUCCACUGCCCUGUGAAGCUUCACUUCAGUCGGCUCCACCCUUCCUGCACUCUCUUCUUCACCUCCUUUAUCGCUCCAUCACGCUGAUGUUUGACCUCACAAACUGAGCUGUUUUCUUCUUCUGUUGCCUCUGAUUCCAACUCCACCUUGUUGUUUCUGCUUUCAUCUGACUUGUGAGUCCUUGUAGCAGUGAUCUGGACUGGUGUGGAGCUUCAGUGCAGAGACGUCAGAUGCUGAGUGAAAAUGAAGGUGGAAGUGACGUGGAGGAAGCUGCAGAAUCUUGCCCAGGUUUAAAGAGCUGACCAGUGAGCAUCAGGACUGACGCAAAAGAAGCCACCACGUUUCUCAGUUUUGCAAACGUGAAGCAGUUGUGGAGGUGGAUAGCCUGGAAAGGUCUCCAGACCGUCAUCUGAAUAUCUAUGGCAGAGCUCUGCCUCCAACAGAGGUACAGGUUGAUCUGUAAGUGGCCGGUGGCCUGGUGAAAGCUGACGUGAAGCCAAGCGGUGAGCGUAGAAGUCUCACACGUGCCGGCCCGGUCCAUCUCAAACCCAGAGCCAUCUCAAGCGCACAGCGCCGGACCAACCUCAGCGUCGCGAUGAGCUUCCGGCCGCUGACACAUCGGACUCAGAUGGAGUCUUCCAACAGACUUCUCUCUCCGCGACUGCAUUUUCCAAACUGCCACAGUGAGGAAUUGUUUCAACGUCUGUGACUCUCUUGUUGAGAAAGAGGAGCAGCCAAAGAGCGCGCGUGAGUCACCGGAGUCACUCGGACAUGUAAGAAUAGGACGCGUCGUCUGGAUAAUUGGAUCAGCCAGCCGUGACAGAAUCGGCUCCUAAUGAAGGCAAAUGUGGCGAUGCUGCCCGAGCGACACGACUCCAGCCAGAUCAACAAAGUUUCAUAAGCACUGUUCACUCAAAUCACAUGAAUUAUGGAAGCUAGGGGCGGCGUCAUGCCUCACUCUUGUGCUUUGAGAGGCAUGAAAUUGGGUUUAUUUCGAGAUGUCAGCACAUUUUUCACGGACGCCCCGAGCUAGUUUGAUGAGUUAAAACUUGCAGGACGGUUCUAGCAUCUGAUUUCAACAGAAUGUGGAUUGUGCCGUCCUCUUAGUCAGAAGCCUGCGCUGGGAUUGUCUUGCGUUUAUCUCUCUUUGCGGCGCCGCGGAGGCAGUGGCAGUAAGUUGUGUCACUUCAAAGGCUCGUCUGCUGCGUAACAGGCCUCUUCGCAUGAUUUAUUCAAAGCUUCUCCCUCUUUCCCUCUAAAUGUUUCCUCUCCAGCGCACAUCAUAAACCGCGUGCAUAAAUAUCUGUUGCGUCUCCCAGAGAUUGUUUGGUAUCAAACAUUUUAUCGCUCGCUGCGUUUGUGAGUUUCCACAGAGAUAUGGAUUUAUCUGACCCGCGCUGAAUUCGCCGCCAGCGGGAUGGAGCGAGUAUAUUUAGAACGGAUCCUGUGUCGGUCAAACGCGUGCGGAUGCCACUGCGGCUGUCUGGAACGGUUUGUCGGCUCUGAGCCGCACUUGUGUUUGUGCAGUCGAAAAGACUUUGCCACUAUUUGGGCUGGAUGUUUUGGAUGACAUCAGAAUUAUGUAACAACUGCUGAGGGACGUUUGACUGAGCUGUUUUUCAUAAUGUGUAUGUGGAUCUUCAUUGUCUCCGGCGUCAGAACCAGGAGCCUGACGUGAAGCUGCAAUAUAUAUAUUUGAUUCUUUGCACCAGGAUGUGCAACAUUAGAAGUCACGUCUUCUUCAUGACCUAAAUUCAUCAUUUAUAGCUCUUACGACCCCCAAAACAUUAAGUUGGUUGGAUGUAUUUCAGAAUCUAUGACAUCCAGGCAUCUAAUCUAAUCUCAUCUGAUCUAAUCUGGUUCUCAAUCCCAAACAGGAGUGAAAGGUGGCUCAAAGUUUGGAGUCCGAUUCUUCUGCAGAUGGAGGCGAUCAAGUUUCUCGAGGUCUUGAGAAGUGAGGGAAGGAUGGAGAUUGGCUGGAGAAAGAGCUGAGCCAGAAGACAAAGCUCUCCUCUGGAGAAAACAGUUGAGGUGUCUCCCAGGAUGUCUUCUCGGGAGGAAGUCAUGGUGCAGUCGCAGGACAUGCUGGAGCUUGGUGUUUCCCGAGAGGAGCUCGAAGAAGGUUCUGGAAAGAAGGAGGUCUGGACCUCUCCAUGAGAAAGAAGGUCAGCCAUCCAGGACCUCUCUGACUAACCUCAGAAAACAUCCUGAAGUCUGUGGCAUCACAACACAACUGGGCCCACUCUGCUGCUGAUGUGUCACCGCUGAGGUGAAGCUUCUCAAGGUUCUGCUGACUCUGCAGACAUGUUGAAGUACCGCUGCAGAUUCAACUUGGUAUCGAUGGAACAAAAGACGUUUGGGGUUUUUAAACCCAUUUUUAUGGCUCCUUCAGCCGACACACGGCGCCACCAUGACGGCAGUCUGGUUCGCAGGAGUCGUAGAAAAGAGCCCAGCACGUCCUUGUUUCCAUGGCGAGUCCUGUUCCGUGAACGACGUGCAUCAGGUGAGACGAGCGCCGCGGGUCUGUGUGAGUCGUACAGCUGCUGCUGUUCUCCCGCUGCAACUACAGUGACGUGAUGCCAAGUAGGUUCUGAUCAGAAGAGCAAUAGAAAGGAGCUGGAAGCGUCUCAGGGCAGCGCCGUGGUUCAUGCCUUCCAUUUCCACCUGAGUCACCUCCUCGCAUUAGGAUUCCAGCGCGUGUUCCAGACCUUUGGGAAGCUCAAAGCCCUCAGCCCAUGGAGAAGAAGGUAAGUUUGCCGAAUACGAUCCAAAUUUGCAGAUUCUCGAACCUUUUGCAACCGUAUUUUGGCCAUCGCGGUCGCCAUAUUUGUUUACUGCCAUAAUCUCGCGGUAAGUGGCGACACUCGGGGCAUGGAAGUGGCAUGCUGUUGUUCAGUUCCAAGCUUGAAACAAUCCUUCACUAAACUAACUCAUUGCUUUCUA